rnacentral:rRNA from 1 species
AUUGAACGCUGGCGGCAGGCUUAACACAUGCAAGUCGAGCGGAGAUGAGGUGCUUGCACCUUAUCUUAGCGGCGGACGGGUGAGUAAUGCUUAGGAAUCUGCCUAUUAGUGGGGGACAACAUUCCGAAAGGAAUGCUACUACCGCAUACGUCCUACGGGAGAAAGCAGGGGAUUUUCGGACCUCGCGCUAAUAGAUGAGCCUAAGUCGGUUUAGCUAGUGGGUGGGGUAAAGGACUACCAAGGCGACGAUCUGUAGCGGGUCUGAGAGGAUGAUCCGCCACGCUGGGACUGAGACACGGCCCAGACUCCUACGGGAGGCAGCAGUGGGGAAUAUUGGACAAUGGGGGGAACCCUGAUCCAGCCAUGCCGCGUGUGUGAAGAAGGCCUUAUGGUUGUAAAGCACUUUAAGCGAGGAGGAGGCUACUGAGACUAAUACUCUUGGAUAGUGGACGUUACUCGCAGAAUAAGCACCGGCUAACUCUGUGCCAGCCGCCGCCGUAAUAC